rnacentral:rRNA from 1 species
GCUAAUACCGCAUAAGACCACGGACUGGGAUGUCUGUGGUAAAGGGAGCAAUUCACUUGAGGAUGGGCCUGCGGCCUAUCAGGUAGUUGGUAAGGUAAUGGCUUACCAAGCCUAAGACGGGUAGCCGGACUGAGAGGUUGAACGGCCACACUGGAACUGAGACACGGUCCAGACUCCUACGGGAGGCAGCAGUGGGGAAUUUUGCGCAAUGGGGGAAACCCUGACGCAGCGACGCCGCGUGGAGGAUGAAGGUCUUCGGAUUGUAAACUCCUUUUGUCGGGGAAGAUAAUGACGGUACCCGAUGAAUAAGCCACGGCUAACUCUGUGCCAGCAGCCGCGGUAAGACAGAGGUGGCAAGCGUUGUUCGGAAUUACUGGGCUUAAAGGGCGCGUAGGCGGUGGAGUAAGUCUGAGGUGGAAGAUUAGGGCUUAACCCUAAAAUUGCCUUGGAAACUGCAUCACUUGAGUCAGCGAGGGGAUGGCGGAAUUCCAGGUGUAGCGGUGAAAUGCGUAGAUAUCUGGAGGAAGGCCGGUGGCGAAGGCGGCCAUCUGGCGCUGAACUGACGCUGAGGCGCGAAAGCGUGGGG